rnacentral:rRNA from 1 species
AACGAACGCUGGCGGCAUGCCUAACACAUGCAAGUCGAACGAGGGCUUCGGCCUUAGUGGCGCACGGGUGCGUAACGCGUGGGAAUCUGCCCUUUGGUUCGGAAUAACAGCUGGAAACGGCUGCUAAUACCGGAUGAUGACGAAAGUCCAAAGAUUUAUCGCCAGAGGAUGAGCCCGCGUUGGAUUAGGUAGUUGGUGGGGUAAAGGCCUACCAAGCCGACGAUCCAUAGCUGGUCUGAGAGGAUGAUCAGCCACACUGGGACUGAGACACGGCCCAGACCCCUCCGGGAGGCAGAAGGGGGGAUUAUGGAAAAAGGGGCGCAGCCCUGAUCCGCAAAUGCCGGGUGAGUAAGGAAGCCCUGGGGGUUGAAAAGCCUUUUUACCCGGGAAGAUAAUGACGGUCCGGGGAAAAAAAGCCCCGGCUAACUCCGUG